rnacentral:rRNA from 1 species
UACGUAGGGUGCAAGCGUUGUCCGGAAUUAUUGGGCGUAAAGGGCGUGUAGGCGGUUUCGUAUGUCUGGCGUGAAAGCCCCGGGCUCACCUCGGGAAGUGCGUCGGAAACUGCGAGACUAGAGUCCCGGAGAGGGAGGCGGAAUUCCAGGUGUAGCGGUGAAAUGCGUAGAUAUCUGGAGGAAUACCGGUGGCGAAGGCGGCAUCCUGGACCGACAUUGACGCUGAGGAGCGAAAGCUAGGGGAGCAAACGGG